AAAGACAAGUUGCACGCUGCUGGAAUUUUCAGCUGAAGGUCACGCACCAGGGGAUUGCAGUGGCAAAGCUAGGCUAGGUCUUGGAGGCUGGUGUAAGGCGAUGCGGGAAGGCAGGAGGCUGAUGGAGAGACUGGGGGGAAGAAAAGCCGAAAUGGAUUCACGGUGCCUUGGAUGGAGGAUGAGAGGGGAACUGCAAGCUCCUUCAACUCGUUCUGUCCGGUGAGAAGUGAUCAAGCUUGGGCUGACAAGAGGCUCAGGGAGCCCUCACGUUCUUUGCUUUUUUACCUGCCAAUCAAACUGCUACAAGACAACACCCUGAUCUGGCAUGGACAUCGUGGGUCCAAGCCUGUAGCCCUAAAUCGGAUAAUCUCUGCAGCUGAUAACAAGCAAAAGAGAAGCCAGGCAACAGCCAUAUUACAGAAGAAAACAAUCAACUCCGAGAUCCAACUUAGAAAUAUCGUUUCACUCAAGAUAAGGCUCGUGGUUUAGGAGAUUCUGGCCCAACUUGCCUCAUUCUCAGACUUCUGUCAUCUGUUUUCAAAACCCAAAGAGGACCCCUUUGUCCUUUGGUAGUUCCUCACACUUUGCCAGCCUCUGGGCCUUAAGGAAACUUGUCAAGAGCUCAGUGCCUGGGAAGGACAGUCCUCUCAUCACAAUGAGUCAGCACCACAGUCUCAGGGACUUACAGAACUGGAUGCCCACUUUGAAACGCGAAGAACACACUAAUUGAAAGACCUUUGUAUAAUUGAAUGAUAGGGUAAGAUCGUCUCAAAUUAUUUCUCCAACCUCUCUCGUCAGUGGUUAUAUUAAGCAGAAG
rnacentral:lncRNA from 1 species